CGUCCUUCCUUCCUCUGCUGCCUCUCUCUCUCUCCCUCUCCGCAUUAUCUUUCCUGGUUGACACUGAACUUUCAAACCUCCUGCCCCUCUGUACCUUCACAGUGAUUUAGAUUCCAGGUAUGAGCCAUGGCACAUUGCUGCGAUGCUAUUUCUAUUUAUUUUUAAAGUGUUAGCUAUCCUGGCAAAUGUGAGCACAAUUGUGUUGUUUGUUCUUUUCAUAGUGUUUCUCAGCCUGGCUCUGGGCUCCUUGUGAUGGUAGACUAAGCUGAAUUAGACUGAGAUAGCCUGAGACUCCAAGCUGGCAGUGAGAGAUGGUGAGCUAGCCUGAGACUAUUAGGCAGGAUGAAGGGGGAUGAAAUUUACUACCUUGCCGCGUGGGCCUGAAAGCAGACUUGACUGAUGGUUAUUGGCCCAGCUUUCAGAAUCAGAGCCUUGAGCAAAGCAUUAGCUGGAGCUCUGAAUCACAACUCCCUCCUCCCAAAUCAGUGCUGUAACUGCCUUACCUGGGCUGCUCCGAGGUCAGGGACAGUGCCUACACAGAAUUCUCAUUCUACCCCCCCCAUCACCGUGUGUGUGUGUGUGUGUGUGUGUGUGUGUGUGUGUGUGUGUGUAUGUAUGUGUGAGAGUGUGUGUCUGAGAGCGUGUAUAUGUGUGUGUGAGAAAGUGUGUGUAUGAGUGUGUAUAAGAAUGUGUGUGUGUGUGUGUGUGUGUGUGUGUGUGUGUGUGUGUCUAGGGUCUCUCUAUGCAGCUCACACUGACUUGGACUUACUAUGUAGUCCAGGCUAAAAUAAAACUUCACAUCUUCGUAUGUUAGCUCUGGAAAUGCUGAGAUAAAAGGUGGUUUUGAACUCAUCGUGUAACUGAGAAUAUCCAUGGACUUCUGAUCCUCCUGUCUCCAUCUCCCAAGAGCUGGGAUUAUAGGCAUGUGCCACUGUACCUGGUUUUACACAGUGCUAAGGCCAGAACCCAGGGCUUCAUGCACUAGAGGCGAGCAUCCUACCAACUGAGCAGUAUCGUGUUUUGUGUGGAUACAUUUUUGCAUUUACUGAGCAUUUACAACCAUGUGGCCGAUUGCAGUGCACCCGUGCAACAGUCAUCGUGUGUGUUCGUUCCUAGAAAGUGGACUGUGGGCUUCGAGGAGCUGACCUCGUCGGAGACAGCUGGGACAGACUAAGGAAUGUCACAUGCCGGCCAGCAGCUCUGGGGAUCUGUCAGCUGUCACAAGACAGGCUAUUUGGUAUGCUUACUUUAGGAAAGAAUUAGCCCCUGAACUGGACCCAGGGUAGAGACCAGAGUGAGCUGAUGUCUGACUGCUGUAGAGCAGUUAAAAAAACAUUCCAAUUCCAUUCACCUGCCAGAGAAUUCCAGCGAUGUCUUAACUGGUUGUUUCACAGCUUGGGGCAAACAGUUUUCUGUCUGUACAGUGGGAAGUACAAACCCGUGGCACCCCAGGAUAAACAGGACAUGUUUCACAGCUUGGGGCAGUUUUCCGUCUGUACAGUGGGAAGUACAAACCUGUGACCCCCCAGGAUAAACAGGACAUUUUUUGGAAGCAUUUUUUUGGCUUGAUGGGAAACAAUUAGUGUUAUUUUAUUUCCAAAUAAAUGUGUGUGUCUUAUGGGACAGAAGAA